AAUAUUUGCUCAAAAUCCCUAUGGACAAAAACUUAUCAAAUUCAUAAAAACAAUGAUAAUUUCAGACCCAAUUCCCAUACCGAGUUAUGACAGGUUAAGAGAUCUAUGAAUAUUUGAUUUGCAUUUUGUUCAUGUACAAAUGUAGAUUUCUGACGAAGGGAUAGGAAUCAACUACUACCAUUACAAUGGAAUUAUCGUGUGAUAUAGAAUAAUCAAUGUGAAAUUUCAGUGUUUAUGCGUAACAAGAGGACCAAUUUCUCUGUUUAAAUUGAGAGGGAAUAUACAUUUUCCAAGAAUUAAGGUAACUCCUGAGAGGUAUGUUACCCCACCCACGGAACCCAGUACGACGUUGUGUCCACCUUGCGUUUGUCGAGACUGCAAUUAACGAGACGACCUUACUGUUAGACACAAAAGAUUUAAUUCUAAUUAGAAUAUUUGUAAAACAUUUAAGUGCUUCUGUUAAAAUAAUUAGCUAAUUAAUUAAUGUAAAAUACAAAAGAAACUAAAUUAUAUAGAGUGCUCGACUCUUAACUGUGUUCCUUUAAAUGGAAAGUUCUGUAGAUAUAAUCAUGUUUCACGUUUCAAGUCGUAGCCCUUUUUUUCAGUUUUACUUGUAUAAACAAGUUAUUAUAAUCUAUCAACGUUCUUCUGCAUGAUCGUCCAAUACUAUUUUUUUAGCCCUAAAAACGUUGAUAAAGUCUAAUAUAUACUAACUGCCGCAUAUGACUAAAGAAUGCUGCCCAUACAUUGUAAUGAAUAAUUUUUCUUAGAUUGAUUUUUUAUUGUAAAUUAUAACAGCACAUACGCACUUAGAAAAGGAAAUAGCACUUAGAUUAGGAAAUGCGGAACGAGCCUAUCAAAGUAGCCCAUCUAUUUAAACAAAGUCACAUUUUAAAAUGGUCUAGAAGCUUUUUUGUCACGUGUAACGUGAUCUAUUACACCUACAGAACUCUCCUUUUGAAAGGACGCACAUAGGACUCGACCUUAUAAAUGUGUAUUGGUACUUGUAAUCUGUACGUGUAAUUCUUGGUUAUGAUAGAUUUCUAUCGAUAAAUAAAAAUAAUGUGUAAGAAUAAAAUGUGUACAAAUAAAAAAAAAUGCAAGAAAUUAAAGGCGUAUUUCAAAUUUUUUAUCAUAUCAUGUGUUAUUUGUUAGUUUUACGUGUAAUAAAAUAACUUACAACUUUAAAAAUAAAAUAAGAGA
rnacentral:misc_RNA from 1 species